CCUACGGGAGGCAGCAGUAGGGAAUAUUGCUCAAUGGGGGAAACCCUGAAGCAGCAACGCCGCGUGGAGGAUGAAGGUUUUCGGAUUGUAAACUCCUUUUGUUAGAGAAGAUAAUGACGGUAUCUAACGAAUAAGCACCGGCUCACUCCGUGCCAGCAGCCGCGGUAAUACGGCGGGUGCAAGCGUUACUCGGAAUCACUGGGCGUAAAGAGCGCGUAGGCGGGAUAGCAAGUCAGAUGUGAAAUCCUAUGGCUUAACCAUAGAACUGCAUUUGAACCUGUUAUUCUAGAGUAUGGGAGAGGUAGGUGGAAUUCUUGGUGUAGGGGUAAAAUGCGUAGAGAUCAAGAGGAAUACUCAUUGCGAAGGCGACCUGCUAGAACAUAACUGACGCUGAUGCGCGAAAGCGUGGGGAGCAAACAGGAUUAGAUACCCCAGUAGUC
rnacentral:rRNA from 1 species